AAUAGAUACCCCCGGGUAGUCCACGCCGUAAACGAUGAGUGCUAAGUGUUAGAGGGUUUCCGCCCUUUAGUGCUGCAGCAAACGCAUUAAGCACUCCGCCUGGGGAGUACGGUCGCAAGACUGAAACUCAAAGGAAUUGACGGGGGGCCCGCACAAGCGGUGGAGCAUGUGGUUUAAUUCGAAGCAACGCGAAGAACCUUACCAGGUCUUGACAUCCUUAUGCCAUCUCUAGAGAUAGAGCUUUCCCUUCGGGGACAUAAGUGACAGGUGGUGCAUGGUUGUCGUCAGCUCGUGUCGUGAGAUGUUGGGUUAAGUCCCGCAACGAGCGCAACCCUUGAUCUUAGUUGCCAGCAUUCAGUUGGGCACUCUAAGGUGACUGCCGGUGACAAACCGGAGGAAGGUGGGGAUGACGUCAAAUCAUCAUGCCCCUUAUGACCUGGGCUACACACGUGCUACAAUGGAUGGUACAAAGGGCAGCGAAACCGCGAGGUUAAGCAAAUCCCAUAAAACCAUUCUCAGUUCGGAUUGC
rnacentral:rRNA from 1 species